rnacentral:rRNA from 1 species
UGCGUAGGCGGUUAUUUAAGUCAGAUGUGAAAUUCCAGGGCUCAACCUUGGAACUGCAUUUGAAACUGGAUAUCUAGAGUGCAGGAGAGGAAAGCGGAAUUCCUAGUGUAGCGGUGAAAUGCGUAGAUAUUAGGAAGAACACCAGUGGCGAAGGCGGCUUUCUGGACUGUAACUGACGCUGAGGCACGAAAGCGUGGGGAGCAGACAGGAUUAGAUACCCUGGUAGUCCACGCUGUAAACGAUGAGUGCUAGGUGUGGGGGGUUUCGACACCCUCCGUGCCGCAGUAAACGCAAUAAGCACUCCGCCUGGGGAGUACGGUCGCAAGACUAAA